rnacentral:rRNA from 1 species
UGGGGAAUAUUGGACGAUGGGCGAAAGCCUGAUCCAGCCAUGCCGCGUGAGUGAUGAAGGCCUUCGGGUUGUAAAGCUCUUUCAGAGGUGAAGAUGAUGACUGUAACCUCAGAAGAAGCCCCGGCUAACUUCGUGCCAGCAGCCGCGGUAAUACGAAGGGGGCGAGCGUUGUUCGGAAUUACUGGGCGUAAAGGGCGUGUAGGCGGCGUUGCAAGUUGGGGGUGAAAGCCCAGGGCUCAACCCUGGAAUUGCCUUCAAAACUGCAACGCUUGAAUCCGGAAGAGGUGCGUGGAAUUCCCAGUGGAGAGGUGAAAUUCGUAGAGAUUGGGAAGAACACCGGUGGCGAAGGCGGCGCACUGGUCCGGUAUUGACGCUGAGGCGCGACAGCGUGGGGAGCGAACAGGAUUAGAUACCCGUGUAGUCC